CCUUGGCAUUGUGUUAACACACACCUGAAUGCUCCAGACCAGCAAACUGCUAAAAGUUUGGCUUUUAUAGAGGUUGUCACACUUACUUAUGAUCAAUUUAUCAAGGCCAUUUACUUAGCAGCAGCUGUCUGCUACUUUGCCUCUAUGGAUAAUUCCUAUGGAAGCAGUGUACUUAGUUUUUCACACAUGGCUUCUCUAUCUUGGAUUAGGGUUUGUUUAAAAAUAUUAUGGCGCGGCUUAAUAUGUCAUGUGUUGUUGUUCAUCUGAGGUUGUAUUAGAUAUAUUUAGUAGAG